GACGAACGCUGGCGGCGUGCUUAACACAUGCAAGUCGAACGAUGAAGCCUAGCUUGCUAGGUGGAUUAGUGGCGAACGGGUGAGUAAUACGUGAGUAACCUACCUUUAACUCUGGGAUAAGCCCGGGAAACUGGGUCUAAUACCGGAUACGACCAAUCUCCGCAUGGGGUGUUGGUGGAAAGCGUUAUGUAGUGGUUAUAGAUGGGCUCACGGCCUAUCAGCUUGUUGGUGAGGUAACGGCUCACCAAGGCGACGACGGGUAGCCGGCCGGGGAGGGUGACCGGCCACACGGGAACUGGGCAACGGCCCGGACUCCUAGGGGGGGCAGAAGGGGGGAAAUGUGGAAAAGGGGCGCAAGCCUGAUGGAGGGAGGCCGGGGGGGGGAGGACGGCCUUCGGGUUGUAAACCUCUGUUAGGAGGGAAGAAGGGGGAUGGCCGGAACCGGCAAAGAAAGCCCGGGCAAACUACUG
rnacentral:rRNA from 1 species